UCGUUCCGGAGGGCGGGCGCCACGGAGGCCGGAGUGGUCGCAGCUCGGGCGGAGGCCGGGUGGGGCGGGGUUGUAGGGCUGGGGCAGGCGGCGGGCUGCCCGGCGGGACAGCGGCGGCAGCCAGCCGGGGGCGUCCUGAGUUGGCGGACGGGGGCGCUGCCAGCUCCCGAGGGGGCCGCUCGGGCCCCUUCCGGCCCGGGUCUGGUCGGGCCGCAGGAGCAGGGCGGGCUGCGGCGCCCAGUCUGACCCUGGCCUAGGGACUGAGCGCCUGGCCCCAGGGCUGCCGGUGGGGCAGCCAUGUGUGGUUCUUGAAGCGCCAUGUGGUCUUCUGAAGCGCUUUUACAGUUCUGAAGGGCUUUAUAUUGCAAACUGAUCAAAGCGCUUUGUAGCCCCGGAAGCGCUUAGGCAUCCUCGAAGUAGGGCUGUGCAAAGUGAAGCGCUUCGUGAUCUCAAAAGCACGUUGUGGACUUGGAAACCAACGGAAGCCUUUAGUAAAUUUUGGAUCGCUUUGACUUCUCCGACUCGGUUUGGCAUUUCUGAAACCUUGAGAACUGUGAUGGGCAGUGGAAAGAAGAGGGAAAGGUGCCCAUGGCGUCCGAGCGGGGCAAGGUCAAGCACAACUGGAGCAGCACGUCGGAAGGGUGUCCCAGCAAGCGCAGCUGCCUCCGGGAGCCCUGUGAUGUGGCCCCCUCCAGCCAGCCAGCUCAGAGGUCUGCAUCGCGUUCUGGAGGGCCCGGCACCCCCAAGCGCCUGAAAGCCCAGAAGGAGGACGAUGUGGCUUGCUCGCGGAGGUUAUCCUGGGGCUCAUCCCGCCGCAGAAAUAACUCCUCCUCCUCCUCCCCCCAUUUCUUGGGCCCAGGUGUGGGCGGGACCGCCUCCAAAGGCUGCCUGAUUCGAAGCACUGGGGGGUUCCUGUCUUCAGGGGGAUCCCCUCUGCGUCCUGCCAACGCCUCUUUAGAAGAAAUGGCUUCUCUAGAGGAGGAAGCCUGCAGCCUUAAGGUUGAUUCCAAAGAUAGUUCUCAUAACUCCACGAACUCUGAAUUUGCAGCUGAAGCUGAGGGUCAGAAUGAUACAAUUGAGGAACCCAACAAGAUCCAGAAAAGGAAGAGGGAUAGACUUCGAGACCAGGGCUCCACAAUGAUCUACCUGAAGGCUAUCCAGGGCAUCCUGGGGAAAUCGAUGCCAAAAAGGAAGGGAGAGGCUGCCAUUCGGGCAAAACCAAGCACAGCAGAGCGUCCCAGCCGUGGAGAAGGACCAGCCAGGAGUGAAGGACCAGCCAAGACUGCAGAAGGAGCAGCCAGGAGUGUCACAGUCACCACUGCUCAGAAGGAGAAAGACUCAACCCCAGAGAUCAGCGUGGAGGAGGACAAGACUGUGCCAGAGAAGAGCAGCUUCUACGACAGGAGAGUAGUUAUAGACCCUCAGGAGGAACCCAGUGAGGAGCCCCUUGGGGACCGAAGGACAGUCAUUAACAAAUGCUCUCCACCCCUAGAGUUCUUGGAUGAUGCUGACUCUCAUUUAGAAAUCCAAAAGCAUAAAGAUAGGGAGGUGGUGAUGGAGCACCCCUCUUCUGGAAGUGACUGGUCUGAUGUUGAGGAGAUCUCCACGGUCAGAUUCUCUCAGGAGGAACCUGUCUCACUGAAACCUUCAGCCGUUCCAGAGCCUUCUUCCUUCACCACUGACUAUGUCAUGUACCCACCUCAUUUGUACAGUAGUCCUUGGUGUGACUAUGCCAGCUACUGGACCAGCAGCCCCAAGCCUUCUAGCUACCCCUCCACAGGCAGCAACAGCAACGAUGCAGCCCAGUUUGGGAGGAGCAGCCGGAGCCGCCUGAGUGAUUAUUCCCCCAACUCUGCAGGGAGCGUCCAAAACACCUCCAGAGACAUGGAGGCCUCAGAGGAAGGCUGGUCCCAGAAUUCUCGUUCAUUUCGCUUCUCCAGAAGCUCAGAAGAAAGAGAGGUGAAGGAGAAAAGAACUUUCCAAGAGGAGAUGCCUCCACGUCCUUGUGGAGGGCACACAUCCAGCUCCCUGCCAAAGAGCCACCUGGAGCCAAGCCUAGAGGAGGGCUUCAUUGACACCCAUUGUCACCUGGACAUGCUCUAUUCCAAGCUGUCUUUCCAAGGGACUUUUACAAAGUUCAGAAAAAUUUACAGCAGCUCCUUCCCUAAGGAAUUUCAGGGCUGCAUCUCUGACUUCUGUGAUCCUCGCACUCUUACAGAUUGCCUAUGGGAGGAGCUGUUGAAAGAGGAUCUGGUCUGGGGGGCCUUUGGCUGUCACCCUCAUUUUGCACGUUACUACAGUGAGAGUCAAGAAAGAAAUCUUUUGCAAGCCUUAAGGCACCCCAAGGCUGUGGCAUUUGGGGAAAUGGGCUUGGAUUACUCUUACAAGUGUACCACGCCUGUCCCAGAACAGCACAAGGUAUUUGAGAGACAGCUACAGCUGGCUGUCUCUCUAAAGAAGCCCUUGGUGAUCCACUGCCGAGAAGCUGAUGAAGAUCUGCUAGACAUCAUGAAAAAGUUUGUGCCCCCUGACUACAAGAUCCAUAGGCAUUGCUUCACCGGCAGCUACCCGGUCAUCGAGCCCCUACUGAAGUACUUUCCCAACAUGUCUGUGGGCUUCACGGCAGUGCUGACGUACUCCUCCGCCUGGGAGGCCCGGGAAGCCCUGAGGCAGAUCCCACUAGAGAGAAUCAUCGUAGAAACGGAUGCUCCCUAUUUCCUCCCUCGCCAGGCAGUGCAAAGCCCUACCCUGUAGAGGGUAGUCCAAGGAAGCGUGGGACCCUGCUCACCCAGAGCCCCCAUGACUAGGACUCUCCCUGCACCUGCAGGUUCCCAAAAGCCUUUGCCAGUAUGCCCACCCGGGCCUGGCCUUGCAUACGGUCCGAGAGAUUGCCAGGGUCAAAGAUCAGCCACUCUCCCGCACCUUGGCUGCCUUGCGUGAGAACACCAGUCGCCUCUACAGUCUUUAAGCAGAGAAGGGCGACCAGCAGCCUGACAGAACACAGGCUGGCUUGAAGUCUGUGUCUCAGGUCGAGGAUGUGUUUGGAGAGCUGAUUGGAACACAGAAAACCAGGACAGGAUGUUUAACUCGAAGCGGGUCAUAAGGCUUCAGCUUGUGGGUGGGGUGGGGUGGGCGUGAAAUGAGGGGUAUGGGGACUGCCUGUAAUAGCACUGGGGUUUUGCCUCCCAGCCAAAAUGCUCCAGGGUAGGCAGCAAAGAAGAGUGUGAUAUGAGGGUACAGUGAGUUUGGCAGUCCAAAUUCUGUUCUCUGCAGCCUGUGUUUUUGAGCAGUUUGUGAAUAAAGUCACCCGCCUACUCGUCUAAGCACACGUGGGUGUGUAACUCAGUUCCUGGUUCUCGGUUCUAAAAACAGACUCCCAACUGGGAAACCUUUUGGGGGAAAUUAACUGGAGACCUAUCUCAGAGGUUUAUUUUCUUGCAACCAGUGAAGUCGUUCUCUUUCCUUCCCUGGAUAACUCUUCAAUUUGAUGGUCACUGUUCUGGUGUCAACUCCAGCGUCAGCACAGGCAGAAGGACUUCAACUGCUGGUCUCAUUGGUUCCACUGCCAUCGAUAUGGGGUGUGCAGAGGAGCGCUCAUUGUUCAUGAUGGAGAUCCAGGACAGACUGGGGGACUCCAGAAGAGGCCUUCUUGGGGAAGAGGACCCCAAAGGAGGUACUUCCUACUCACUGAUGCCCUCAGGGCUGCUGUGUGGGUGUGUUAAGGUGAUAAGGUUCAGUUUGCAGCAGAAACUACCUGCUAGUCUUGUGUCAGGGGUUCCCAGCCUCCUUUUGUUUCACUUUUGCCCCCUUCUCUGGAACAUUUGACCAAAAAUAAUCCUCAUUUCAUCUUGCGUUAACAGUCCCUUGUGUGCCCUCCCCAGGUUGAGAGGUGAAUCAACGUCAUUCUCUGAAGCUCUGCAGGGCAGCUCAGCCAUGUUACAUUGUCUAUGCAGAAUAAGCAGGCCUGGUGUCCGCAAAUGUACCAGUCCCUCUCCCGCUUCUCCUGGGUGCCCCCUGGCCUUUGCCUCUCCUGUGUCCUGUCUUUCUGUGUUUUAGAAGUCAGAGCCUCUCCUUCACCUUUUGAGCAACUGAGUCAUCUCAGGUCCUGAGCUCUGCUCUGCCGCCUGCUGGUGCCUUGUAAAGGUAUAUUCGUUACAGGCCCUGGAGUUUCUAAUGGUCCAGGGUUAAGUGAGAGGAGACUGUAUUUUGUUUCAAAGGAUCCUUCACCCUGAUCUCCUGCAGUGAGGUGGAUAGGUCACCUGGAGUCCCUCGUCUGUGUUCUUGGAGGCUUAAAUUGUAAAAUAUGUCCCUUAUGGAAUCCUAAAUUCCUCUAGGUGUUUUUGGAAGGCGCAUUUGAGCCUUGUGAGCUAAAAUGGAAUGGAUUUAAUAUUUCCUAUCUGGUAUUUCCAUCUUGCCCCUGGUACACAAGUCACCGGCCUGGAACUCAGCCUUGAUUCACUGUCUGUCUUCAUGGAUCAGCUGUGCCGUUAUGUUGUCUGUGCUGCAGAUUUGCCCAUGUGGGAAGUCGGGGGGGACCUGAUCUCCUGCUUGGAAGAUCUGGGGACUGCUGAGUAUAUCAAAGUGCUUUAUUGUCACCAAGUGAACUGCAGCACAACCAUCUCCUCUCCACAAGCCCUGAAGUCAGUACUGCCUGCAGGUGAAACCAACCAGUCCUGUGUUAGAGGAGGAAAAGCAACGAUGACAUGGAAGUCUCCAAGCCUGUGCCAUCCACCUGCCAAGGAAAAGCACAAGGUGCUAUCUACUUUUCUCUCUAGGAUUUAGAUUAUCAUUUAUGUGCUGUUACAUAGUGAAACCUCACCUGUGUGGGCGUGAAAAUUGGUUGGCAUUGUUUUUGAUUCAGCUUUUUGGAUGGCUGAUUGUUUUCACUGUGCUGUGGGAAUGCCUCUGUAUUUUUUCCCCUCUUUGGCCAUCUUUUUCUGAAAAUAAAGUGAUGGAUCCUCCAGCCAA